rnacentral:rRNA from 1 species
CCUACGGGAGGCUGCAGUGAGGAAUUAUGCACAAUGGAGGAAACUCUGAUGCUGCAACGCCGCGUGUGGGAUGAAGGGGCUAUGCCCUGUAAACCACUGUCAGCAAGGAAAAAAAGUCUGCACGGCGGACUGGGAUUGUACUUGCAGAGGAAGGGUCGGCUAACUACGUGCCAGCAGCCGCGGUAAUACGUAGGACCCAAGCGUUGUCCGGAAUUACUGGGUGUAAAGGGUGCGCAGGCGGGCUUGUGCGUCGAGGGUUAAAGACCUCAGCUUAA